rnacentral:rRNA from 1 species
UACAGAGGUCCCAAGCGUUGUUCGGAUUCACUGGGCGUAAAGGGUGCGUAGGCGGUCGGGUAAGUCUGAUGUGAAAUCCCUCGGCUUAACCGGGGAACUGCGUCUGAUACUGGAUGGCUUGAGAUUGGGAGAGGGAUGCGGAAUUCCAGGUGUAGCGGUGAAAUGCGUAGAUAUCUGGAGGAACACCGGUGGCGAAGGCGGCAUCCUGGACCAACACUGACGCUGAGGAGCGAAAGCCAGGGGAGCAAACGGG